rnacentral:rRNA from 1 species
CCUACGGGGGGCAGCAGUGGGGAAUAUUGCACAAUGGGGGAAACCCUGAUGCAGCGACGCCGCGUGAGUGAAGAAGUAUUUCGGUAUGUAAAGCUCUAUCAGCAGGAACGAGACAAGACGGUACCUGACUAAGAAGCCCCGGCUAACUACGUGCCAGCAGCCGCGGUAAUACGUAGGGGGCAAGCGUUAUCCGGAAUCACUGGGUGUAAAGGGAGCGUAGACGGCUGUGCAAGCCUGAAGUGAAAGGCGGGGGCCCAACCCCUGGACUGCUUUGGGAACUGUACGGCUGGAGUGCAGGAGAGGUAAGUGGAAUUCCUAGUGUAGCGGUGAAAUGCGUAGAUAUUAGGAGGAACACCGGUGGCGAAGGCGGCCUGCUGGACUGCAACUGACGUUGAGGCCCGAAAGUGUGGGUAUCAAACAGGAUUAGAUACCCCAGUAGUC